UACGGAGGGUGCGAGCGUUGUCCGGAAUCACUGGGCUUACAGGGUGCGUAGGCGGCUUUUCAAGUCAGGUGUGAAAGCCCCCGGCUCAACCCGGGGAAUUGCGCUUAAAACUGAAGGGCUCGAGUCAGCUAGAGGUGCACGGAACUUCCAGUGGAGCGGUGAAAUGUGUGAUAUUGGAAGGAACACCGGAGGCGAAAGCGGUGCACUGGGGCUGGUCUGACGCUGAGGCACGAAAGC
rnacentral:rRNA from 1 species